rnacentral:rRNA from 1 species
UGCGNCCGAAUACAUUAGCAUGGGAUAAUGGAAUAGGACCCUGUCCUCCUUUUUUCAGUUGGUURRUUCGGGAGAGAGGAACAGGGUAGUGAUUAAUGGGAAKAGUUGGGGGCUUUAAUAUUUAUUUGUCGAAGGUGAAAUUCUGGGAUUUUCGAAGUUUUCCCUUCGGCGAAGCCUUCGGCCAAGGAGGUUUCCUUUAUCCAAAAACAAAGUUUAGGGAACCCAAAACAAUCGAAUCCCUCGGUGUUCUUAACCAUAAACAAUGCCGACCGCCAAUAAGAAAACGUUAAAUACAAAACYCCUCUAUAUAUAAUUCAUUGUAUGAUCAGUCAAAUGGUUGUAUAUUGUUUGUAUAUAGUCACCGGGAUAUUCCCCCAAUCACUUUGGGAAAAUUGUGAAAAAGACAAUACCGACGCAUCUUAUCUCCCGGCGCC